CAGAGUUCAUGCCCUCCGGGUAGAUCUCCCACCCAUUGCUAUAACUACUCUCGUUGCUUUGGCGGGCCGCUGGGCCCUGCCCGGCCGCCGGCCCCGGCUGGCGCGUGCCCGCCAGAGACCUCACAGACUCUGAAUGUUAGUGUCGUCCGAGUAACUAUAUAUAAUCGUUA
rnacentral:misc_RNA from 1 species